GUCACCCAUGAUAUCCACACCCUGAUAUCCAGGAAGUCAAGCAGCUUGAAAUUGCGCUCUUCCACCCGCUCCAGUGCGGCGUUCUUGGUCUCGGCGUCCUCCAGCAGGGCGCCCACGUCAAACACGUUGUCCAGGAUGUCGGUGGGCGGAGGCGGGAGGGUCGUCAGCGAAAUGGGACACACCUGGGCUCGGGUGUGUCCCGGGAUAAAUACACCUCUUCCCCAUUCAUUGAGGAGACUCUCCAUGCAGACACACCGAUAGAUUUUUGGUUGUGGCAUUUUUGUGGUUGUUUUGUUUGUUUGCUUUGGCACCUUUCAACACCCCUCAUGAUCACAUUUAUGCACGGAACCACUCACUUACACUACUGAUUACCGACGACACACACCAUUGUUAAUUGUAUUUAUGUCACUUCAGUUAAUAAAUAUAUUUCUGUUA